rnacentral:rRNA from 2 species
UUCAACGGAGAGUUUGAUCCUGGCUCAGGACGAACGCUGGCGGCGUGCUUAACACAUGCAAGUCGAGCGGUAAGGCCCUUCGGGGUACACGAGCGGCGAACGGGUG